UUCAUUACUUUUGGGAGGCAUUACUUUUGGAGUGACCUAUGUAUAUAGUCUGUGAGAAUUAAUGUGAGAUGUGUAAGAAUUACAUAUAUAUGAAAGGAAUGCUUAUAGACUUUGUCUUAUUUCCUCAUAAACCUGAAGGAUUAGUCAAAAAGCUUUUCUUUCUUUGACACUGAUAGCAAUGUGGAGGACAAACAUCUACAAGCUCCAUCUUGAAUGAUGUCAGUAUUGUACUUCCAUUUUCUUGUGCAACUGAUUCUUCAUGAGAACACGUCAGUGUUUGCUGCUGCUGCUUUUCUUGAACUGCAGGUCUGGAAGUGCAGUGAUUAAGCUAAGAGCUUCAUCAUCCCAAAAAACUUGAGGUGAGGGUAGAAUGCAUAAGUAACAGGGAUCCCAUCUGUUUUCAGAAUAGUUUUAUUUUCUCUAUAUUUUUUUCUGCAGAAACAUUUUUAUUUAUUUAUUUAUUUAAUGACAAGGCAAGAAUUUGCCUGGGAAGCAGUCCCUGAAAGUAACAAUUUUGGAAUAAGUAGAUCUUGGAAGGCCACGGAGGCUGAACAGGGAGAAGAAACACAGACCAAGAAGUAAAGGAACCAAAGAUAGGAGAUACUGCUGUGGAGAGGAAGUAGUCAGGACAAGGAUAAAGAAAUGCUGAGAUUGAAGGUAAACAUUGAAAAAGUUUGUACAGAUAUCUGAUUUCUGUACUCUUCUGGGGCAGUGGUAUUUGGAAGAGCUUACAAGAGAGAUAUGUGAGAAAGAGGCAAGGAGAGUCCGAUCUUUAGGAAGUGAAGCUAUAUUGAAAGGAAUUAUCCAGUACACUAGAGGUCAUAAAAUUUCAGUUUUGAGUUGCACCAUUCUGUUUCAGAAAGUUUUGUCUAGAUGAUAUAAAGUGAUAUAUACUCUUCUGUUUUUCUAUGAAUAUAAUUUCAGUGGCUUACUGAUCAGGUAGGAGGGAUAGAUUCGAAAAGAAAACUCAAGGAAGUGGAGGUAGUCAGGAUGUUGUUACAGGGAAAGGAGACAGCUAAUAAUGCAUUUGAUUCCAGGAGUGAGAAAACCUGAUCUACAAAGUACUUAUUGUUCUUGGAUCUGUUUCCAUAAGAUCUUUCCUGGAAUUAAUUUGUUGGCCAUAUUUUUUGUUACUCAGAUUUUGAUUUUAUUGGAUCCAGUAACUCUUAAAUUUAUCUUUCUUUAUCUGUUUAUGAAAGAUCCUCUUUUCAGGUUUGAAACUUGUUACUUUGUAUUGUUAGAUGUUUCAGAUGAUGAGCAAUGUUCAGAACUAGGUCUGUUUACAUGCUUGUCUUCAUAGGUCCCAGAACUUGUUUUGUGCUUUGAGUUUACAAAAGUAACAGGAAUUACAGCCUAAAUUCGCAUGAUCAGGUUUGUUUGAUGGUUCAGCUCACUUGGCAAAGUGAAAUGCACAGAAGCAGAUCAUAGGAUUAGGAUGUUGUGGUUUGGCAUCUGUACUUAUAAGGAGUCUAUCCAGAUACAUUGCGAAACCUUAUCUGAUCGUAAUGAAGUAAUUAAAGGCAGAUGUCUUCAGUCAGUGGAGCUGGAUAACUUGCUUUUCCGAAAUUAAGAGAAGUGCAGAAGAAUUCUUAUAACAAAUAACGCUAGGCACUAGACAGGUUUCAGGGGAAUGCUGUCAAGCUGGUAGUUAAGAACACAACGGGGACAAGCUGGGUAGACAACUGGUCAGCCUGACUUUAAUCCAGAAAUCAGAACACCUAGUACACGCUUCUGUCACCAAGUAAAGAAUUAAAGGAGAGAAAUGUAAUUAAUGCAAUUCAAAUAGCGUAAUGGAAAUCAGCACUAAGCUUGCAGCCAGCUCUUGUCUACCUUGUUCCCCAGGAGCUGCCUCGUUAGGGGGAUGGUCAGACCCAGAGCUACAAGAGGUGACAGAACUAACAGCAUAGCAGUUAGGAGACAAAAUUUAUAAAAUUGAGUAAUUGUAACUCUGCUAAUUGGGGAUGCCUGACGUACCCAUGAUCUAGAAAGUACCUGAUUAUUGGAAGCCACAUUUAAGCACCUAAAAGCCCCCAUGUUCACAAAAAAGCUCCAAAACACCCGUGUGGGUGGCUGCCCAGUCCUGAAACUGCUGUUAUCUUUUCAAGUGUCUCCACUCAUGAUGCUACCACUGCCCCAGUGCAGGCAUGCAUUGUGUGCAUAACUCUGGGUCAGAGUGGUUGUCAUCCAGCUUCUGUGCAAUGGGCUCUUGGAAAGGGCUGGUGUUGGAGAUUUGGUAGUGGGAGUGUUCCUCAUUGCCAAGAUGCACUCUUACAGGCUGAAUUUGAAACUGAUACUAAAAUGGCAGUUGUGGCUAUUGCUUCCCUUUUCUAGAAUAGCACAGUGGUUACCUGUGUGGGUAGUGGGAAUCCAGCCCCACACACUGCAAAAAAGGAAAGCAGCCUGGCACAACCCCAGUGCUCCUCCUGUGCUGCCUCCCCAACAUAUAGUGCUGCUGUGGGGUGCAGUGAGGAGCCAAGUGCCAGGAAAAGGCAAAUUGAGAAGAUGGAUGGCUGUAAUCCAGUGAUCAGACCAUCAGGAAAGUACUUUGCUUCCCAGGUGCGUAAGUGUUACAUAGAGCAGCUUAUGAAAGCACCGGAAGUACUCCCAAGAGCAGGCUCUAACAUCACUGUUUGAAAAUAAUUCUUACAUUUGUCCCUUUUCUGAAACAAGGUUUGUAUGGCAGAUAUGGAAAUGAAGACAUUCUUCAUGUUUGCUAGUUCAAGGAGAACCCCAUUUGACUCAGAAUCUGGGCUGAAUUGCCAAGCCUCUGUAAAUACCGCAGGUGAAACCUGGAGGUAGCUUUGUUGCAGGGGUUACAUACGUGUGUAUUUGAAUUGCACUCUGCAGAGGAAGUACCAGUGUUUUUGCUGCAGUGUGUUACCACACCUAUGUCCUUUUUAUCUUCCAAACGAAAAACAACCUUUUACACUCCUUAGUCUUCCCACACACAUUCCCUGGACAGCAUGAUAGGAUGCUCUGCUGAGCCAGACGGUGCAACAUGAAAAAAGCUUGUGUAUGCAGUGAUGGUGCUUAUAGUAUCUGAUUCAUAUUAUCCCUGGAUGUGGUAUGCUAUGUAUAUGUAACCAAUGGUACAUGCUGAAGCCUGGAUUUUGCAAAGGCAAAAGUUGCUGACUUCACAUACAUAAAAAAACCCAAUGGGUAUAUCUUAUGAAGUCUAAUAUUUAAUUUUCUUCUCACUGAGCAUAAAAGAAUAGGCGUGCAGCAAGCAGAUAAGAAACAGAUUGUGCCUGCCUCUGUUGGCUAACUUCUUCCUGCAGUUCUUGCUUAUCUGUAUUUCUGGAUUGGAAGAGAUGCAUAACACAUCAGCUGAUGAUCUACGUAACCAUUUAAUACUUGACCAUCUGAUUAAAGUGAAUGUUACGUAAACUGAUUCCCAAAUGGAGACUACUGUAGUACCACACCCAUGGGGAAAUCUUUAUAUCUUUGCAAGGCACGAUUUCAGAUAGCUCAGCUGCAUUCCCCAAGGCUGAUUUUUUUUUCCACACUAAGGCACUAGAACUCUGUCUUUCAGCUUUUCUUUCUAUGCACAUUUUCUUUUUUCUUUUUAUUUUCUUUUUUUCUUUUUUUUUUUUAAGAACUUCAUAUACAGGGUAGAAAAGCUACUGAUAGAAUGACAGAGGAAACAAAAGCUUCUUCCCUUCCCUUUCACCUGCAGGCAUGCAAUUUUAGAACAUUUAAAGCACCUAGCUUCUGGGCCAAGGCUUCUUGAUCUCCCAGGAACCAAACUGACUUGAGUUUAAGGGAAAACAAAGAUUAGUUUGCAAUGUUUGAUGCCCAGAGUCUUACUUCUGGAAAUACUGUACUUCUUGUUGAGUAGAUAAGAGUUCAUGCUUCUGAACAAACAAUGGGAAGGUGUGAUUUAAUUGCAGUCACGUUUAUUUGCAGUUUCUGUACACACUUUCUAGGUAAUCAAACUUUUCCAACACAUUUUUUGAGAGGGGUUCACAAUGAAACUGUCACCGUUUUUACUAAAAAUAAAUACAAGACUUAAAGUGUUGCACAGCUCUAAAAUAUACAAAGGCUUGGAUUUAAUGUAAACUUUGGAAACAUUUUACAAAAGAAACCAUCUUUGCAACAAUUUAAAAAGUUUGUAUUUACAAAUAUUACAAAAAUACAAAAUGGAUGCAAGUCCAUAAACCAUUGUCUUUUCUGCCAGCAUGAACUGGUGCUAGUACCAAAAUAGUUACACUGUAACCUUCUUUAUUUUUUUUUUAAAUUUUUAAAUUCUUUAAGUCAUAACCUACAGUAUUUCUCUAUAUCUGCCACCACUGCAGCAAAUGCACUCAAUCACUGACCUUUGGCAACAGCACGUAUAUGCUUUAUUUGCUACAACUAUUCCAUCUCCUCUAUGCUGCCACAAGAAAAAGAAGAAAAAGGGGGAAAUGUUACUUUUCUGAAUAUAUGUGUGAUUUCCUUAACAUCAGUGCAAGCAACAGAACAUAGUUUGAAAUGAUGAUUCACUGGUUGCCUAAUGCAUGUGCUGUACCCUGUUUCAAGAUAUACAAUGUUCCUGUUCUCUGCCCAUUCUGUACAUGAAAUACUGCCUCACAGUUCAUUUUUAGUGCUUAGAUACCGAUAAAUGGCAGCUGUUAAAUUGUUGGUUGGUAAUAAAAAGUGUACCACCAGUGUCAACUCAGCUGUAUUCUCUUUACAGUUUUUGAAUGAUUCUUUAAACAUACGUAACGCCUUUUAGGUUAAACGUUUAUAAAAGUGCUUUGGGUAAAACUUCCUUGGAAAAUGACUCAAGAUGCCAAACUAAGAAUUUUCUCUUAGUAUCAAAGCUUCCUCAUGUCUUCCAGAAAGUGUUGUUUUAUACACUAAGCAAUUCCAUAGAAUCUUCACUCUUUUACUUGUGUUUCAGCUCCUUUUCUUAACUAAGCUACUAAUAAGACUAGCCAUUUGUUUCCAAAACCUUGCUCCACCUGCCCUUAUUAAAACUGUUUCAGACUUCCCCAUUUUGGAGCCCUGAUUUACUACCUCUCUUCUCAACACACAUACCACAUGCAUAGUAAUUCCAACUCGCAUAGUAAUUCCAACUCUCAUACUGCACACAAGCAGACACAGGAAGACGGUAGGAUACCCUGAAUUACAUAUUUUAUAGUGUACACUAGACCAAAUGAGAUAUAAACCUUAUUGGAAAUACGUCUGAGGAUUUGUUCAACCCCUCUGACUUGCUCAAACUUUUAAAAUCAUAAGAACCUUCCUCUUCAAAACAUGAUCUGCCCGCUUUUAAAACUCUUAAGCUUUAUGCAUUACGUGAUUAAAAGGAAAAAAAAAAAAAA